rnacentral:rRNA from 1 species
GGGACACGUGGUAUCCUGUCUGAAUAUGGGGGGACCAUCCUCCAAGGCUAAAUACUCCUGACUGACCGAUAGUGAACCAGUACCGUGAGGGAAAGGCGAAAAGAACCCCGGCGAGGGGAGUGAAAAAGAACCUGAAACCGUGUACGUACAAGCAGUGGGAGCCUCUUAAUGGGGUGACUGCGUACCUUUUGUAUAAUGGGUCAGCGACUUAUAUUCUGUAGCAAGGUUAACCGAAUAGGGGAGCCGAAGGGAAACCGAGUCUUAACUGGGCGUUAAGUUGCAGGGUAUAGACCCGAAACCCGGUGAUCUAGCCAUGGGCAGGUUGAAGGUUGGGUAACACUAACUGGAGGACCGAACCGACUAAUGUUGAAAAAUUAGCGGAUGACUUGUGGCUGGGGGUGAAAGGCCAAUCAAACCGGGAGAUAGCUGGUUCUCCCCGAAAGCUAUUUAGGUAGCGCCUCGUGAAUUCAUCUCCGGGGGUAGAGCACUGUUUCGGCAAGGGGGUCAUCCCGACUUACCAACCCGAUGCAAACUGCGAAUACCGGAGAAUGUUAUCACGGGAGACACACGGCGGGUGCUAACGUCCGUCGUGAAGAGGGAAACAACCCAGACCGCCAGCUAAGGUCCCAAAGUCAUGGUUAAGUGGGAAACGAUGUGGGAAGGCCCAGACAGCCAGGAUGUUGGCUUAGAAGCAGCCAUCAUUUAAAGAAAGCGUAAUAGCUCACUGGUCGAGUCGGCCUGCGCGGAAGAUGUAACGGGGCUAAACCAUGCACCGAAGCUGCGGCAGCGACACUAUGUGUUGUUGGGUAGGGGAGCGUUCUGUAAGCCUGUGAAGGUGGCCUGUGAGGG